rnacentral:rRNA from 1 species
UGUGUAGGCGGCUUCUUUAAGUUUGGUGUGAAAUCUCCCGGCUCAACUGGGAGGGUGCGCCGAAUACUGAAGGGCUAGAGUGCGGGAGAGGAGAGUGGAAUUCCUGGUGUAGCGGUGAAAUGCGUAGAUAUCAGGAGGAACACCGGUGGUGUAGACGGCUCUCUGGACCGUAACUGACGCUGAGACACGAAAGCGUGGGUAGCAAACAGGAUUAGAUUACCCUGGUAGUCCACGCCCUAAACGAUGCAUAUUUGGUGUGGGUCAUUCAGUUGAUCCGUGCCGGAGCUAACGCGUUAAAUAUGCCGGCCUGGGGAGUACAGUCGCAAAGGCUGAA